UAUAAUAUAGUUUAAAAACAUAAGUUUUGUAAACUUAAAAUAAAUCUUCAACUCCCAAAGCUAAUAUUAUUAUAA
rnacentral:tRNA from 1 species